rnacentral:rRNA from 1 species
UACGAAGGGGGCUAGCGUUGUUCGGAAUUACUGGGCGUAAAGCGUAUGUAGGCGGAUCGUUAAGUCGGGGGUGAAAUCCCGAGGCUCAACCUCGGAACUGCCUUCGAUACUGGCGAUCUUCGAGUCCGGGAGAGGUGAGUGGAACUCCGAGUGUAGAGGUGAAAUUCGUAGAUGUUCGGAAGAACACCAGUGGCGAAGGCGGCCCACUGGCCCGGUACUGACGCUGAGGCACGAAAGCGUGGGGAGCAAACAGG